GCUGCGGCUAAACAAAAUGGGAAAGCCAGGGGGAAAGGUGAAGGACGGUGGGGGAGAAGGAACGGCGCUGGCCCAAAACCCUACCUCUAAUGAAGAGGCGGAGCAUAGCAAUGGCCUCAGCCGUAAGAAGAAGAGCAAGGCGAAGGACGGCGGUGGCAAAGGCAACGGGGAGAAGGAGAAGGUUGAAAAGGAGGGCGCCUUCCUCCUGGGCGAGCCGACCUUCCUGGACCUAGGUAACGGGCGAUUGCGUUGCGUGGAGACGGGGCACGAAUUUCUCGCCAAGGACCGGGAGGCCUACGGCCGCACCAAGGCCUGCCGCCUCGCCCUCAUCGAUGCUGCCGUCGCCAGAAAGAAGCCACCCCUCAAUAUGUUCCAGCCCCACCCCACUUCCAAGUCGCAACUGGUGUGCAAGCUUACCGGAGACGCGGUUAAUAAAUCUGAGGAGCAUAUCUGGAAGCACGUCAGUGGAAAGAAAUUCCAGAAUAUGUUAGAACAAAAGGAAAUGGAGUCCCAUGCCAAUGCAGAAGCUGUAGAGAAAAAUGCAAAACAAUCAAAAAAGCAAUUCAAGUCAAAAAAAGAUCAGAAAAAGAAUGCUCAUGAGAGUGAUUCACUUACCAAAAAGACAAAGGCAAACAGUGAUGAUAUAAUUGAGCCUGAUUUCUGGGUUCCUCCUGUUGGAAGUCGCUGGGACUUCGAUGAUGGAGAGGAUCGCUGGGAUUCUCAUGAAAACUCAGAUGAUGAUGCAGAUGGUGGUACAGGCCUAGAUGGAACAUCGGAAAAAGAUGAUCCUGAAACAAGGAAACUUGCCAAGCGGAGUAAGCGAACAUCAAAAUCUGUUGGCCUCAGCAGCUUUGUUUCAAGGAAGAAAAAGAUCAAGAAGGCAACUACAAGCCCUUCUGAGCAGCAGUUAUAACAAGAGCAUAUUCACCUGCAAAGCUUGUGAUUGUCUGCCUUUUGUAUAUGCAACGUCAAGCCGUUUUGAUAUUAUAGAAGCUUUGCAAGCAUUCUCUUGGUUGAGUUUUUCAGGUACUUACAUCCAAUCCUGCAGUGAUUAACUAAACCUAAAUCGAACUGUUGCCUCGUCCGAACUGUUUCACUUGAAGAAUUUCUUUUGAAGGCAUCUGAAACUCUUUGAAAGAUGGCAAUUACUUCCAAAUGUUCAGAAAUUAUCCGCAGCUUAUUUGUUAAAGCUUUUGAUCGCAAACUCACUGUAAUAGUGACAUGAGUAAAUUACUUCAUGAAGUUUAUGAUUACAUUCUUUUGGUUGCA